AGUGAACGCUGGCGGUAGGCCUAACACAUGCAAGUCGAACGGCAGCACAGUAAGAGCUUGCUCUUACGGGUGGCGAGUGGCGGACGGGUGAGGAAUACAUCGGAAUCUACUUUUUCGUGGGGGAUAACGUAGGGAAACUUACGCUAAUACCGCAUAUGACCUACGGGUGAAAGCAGGGGAUCUUCGGACUCUGCGCGAUUGAAUGAGCCGAUGUCGGAUUAGCUAGUUGGCGGGGUAAAGGCCCACCAAGGCGACGAUCCGUAGCUGGUCUGAGAGGAUGAUCAGCCACACUGGAACUGAGACACGGUCCAGACUCCUACGGGAGGCAGCAGUGGGGAAUAUUGGACAAUGGGCGCAAGCCUGAUCCAGCCAUACCGCGUGGGUGAAGAAGGCCUUCGGGUUGUAAAGCCCUUUUGUUGGGAAAGAAAAGCAGCAGGUUAAUACCCCGCUGUUCUGACGGUACCCAAAGAAUAAGCACCGGCUAACUUCGUG
rnacentral:rRNA from 1 species